CACAUUUUUCAACAAGUUUAAUUUUAAGUAACCUUUCCCCGUGGAUUCGAUCCUGUAAGAUACUACAACGCCUGUAUACUUGCAGGUAAAACUGCACUAGAUUUUUGAUUCAUUAAUUUGAGUCACAGUUUAGUCCAAUCAAUAAACAAAGAUUUGGGAUGGCUAGGGAAGGACUUAGAGGUGUUGGUGAAGCUAUUGGUAAUGGUGGUUGGUCGUGGGUAGCGGUGUGGGCGGCGGUUAAAGGCUAAAAUAUCCAAAUAAAAAAAAAAAGAUGGAGGGGCUUCAAUAGUGGCAGAUCGGGGCUGAUGUUGGGUGAGUUAGGUAGUUGGGAGGUUGCCGGUGAGGUGGUGAGAAGAUGGCAGCCCAAGGUGGUGCCACAGUGGCACUGGGACACUAAGAGCGUACAGCUUGAAGCCAUGUGUGGAGAAGUUUUGUGACGCGGGAGGGGCUAAAAAUGGAGGGGUGAGGUUGCCAGCUGGUGGGGAAGAAGAUAAGAGAGGUGGCGCACGGCGGGAGAGAGAGAGAGAGAGAGAUAGAGAGAGAGAGAGAGAGAGAGAGAGAGAGAGAGAGAGAGAGAGAGAGAGAGAGAGAGAGAGAGAGAGAGCCCCAGAGCCCCAGAGCGCCAGUGGCAACCCAAAAACCCGGGCUCUAACAAGCCAGCCAAGUCAAGUUGGUGGAUUUCUAGGAAGCCAUCGGGGCUGAGAAAACUAAGUUAAGCCAAAAAGGGUUGAAGUUGCAAAAAAUGGGGGCAGUGGGCUAAGCAAAAGUACAAAAGGCAGAAGAAAGAUAGCAAUGCGAAUGGAAAGGGGAGCGAAUUUAAAGGCAUGGUCUCAUAGUUGCAGAGAGAGGGGUAACAUCUGACAACCUAAACUUGCAAGGAAUGUGAAGCAAUAGGAACCAUAUUGGCACCCCGGUAGCAGUAUAUGAGGAAUCACCAUCGGACACAUGGAAUGGCCACUAACCAGCUCAUGUCGCCAUUCAUUGACAAGAAGAGUGAUCAACUGUGAUAAACAAGAAGCUAUGAAAAUUUCCAUCAGAUCAACCCAAUGAGAAUUGGCGGGGUAACUGUUAGGGGGUAUAUUCGUCAGGGCCUAAAGCCCAUAGUACUGCCCUAGGCCCAUUACUUCGCCAAGCCCCAUGAGCUCCAGGAAUGACGACUCGAGCUCGGAAGGGCCCCCCUUUGAUAGCCAGGGUGGGUCCCAAACCCAUGCGGGUUGGGCAGGAUCCAGACCCAUGCAGAUUAGAGGUAAUCAUCAACAUUGAGAUGUGACGUUACAAAAGGGUGCAGGAAACCAUAAUCGGGAAAAAGGAAAGAGACGGCAUCCGGCAAUGCUACCAAAGACCCAUACCGCAUUAAAUGAUUGACACAAAAAAACCACACCGCAUUAAAUUCAAUAUGGUGGUGGAGACUUCAAGGAGAGGCGUCCCUUCGCCCGAAAACACAAGGCAUGUCCUAACUUGAAUGACCAAGUAUAAAAAGUCACCCAGAACUAGGAGGUAAGUGGGGAUGAAUUCAAGUCUGUUGUCAAUCAUAUAUAACUGUUGUCUUCUUAUUUAAUCAUUUUAUCUCUACUCUAUACUAACUUUGCCAUCAAAGGUUUCCCGGGCUACCGCAGUGCCACCCCUCUCCCGCCUCAGGAUCCGCCAUAAGUGAAGACCUGCACCGCUGAGCAACCCGGCCCAAGGGUGUACAAAACACGACGUUAACUUUAGUAUUGAAAAUAUUAUAAUAUUAAACUUAUAUAGUGUUACACGUGUAAACAGUAAACUGGAAAACCGGAUUGUAUAAGUUCAAAACUGAAAAAACUGAAAGUUCUGAUUUUGGUAAUGAAUCGAUCCAUAUUAUUUCUUAAAUUUUCAAAGUUGGUAUAUACCGAUUCAGUUCCAAAAUGUUUUCAAAAUCGAACCGGCUACACCCCUAACUCCAAUGCUUAAGUUAAAGAAAACCUAAAGUCUCUUAAUCAAUCUAAUAAUCUAGCGGCACAUACUUGGUGGUGUAUUUAUAUGGUUUAAGGCAUCCCAUUUGGUAAAGUCUUUCUCGUGGAUAAGAUACUGGAGAUGAUAGUGUGCCGCCAACAUGGGUAUCUAUGCGGGACUGGCCUAUUAUGUUGGCGUGAACCUUUCACGAGACAAACCCCAACAACGUUAUCAGCACGAUGCGUGAAAAAUCUUCCUUCUGCCGCUUAGUUCUCGAGUUUCUCUCUCAUGGGAUAGAUGGUAGCAGGAAAGGCCUAACUUUCAUGUAUGACAGAGUUCGAAUCAGAGAGUUCGGCCACAUGCUUGCCGGAAUCCUGGAGCUUCGGCCAAGAAAACCCAGUUCUUUUUCAUUAUUCUCACUUGAAGCUUCGAAUGUUGAGCGAGUUCACGCCGCCUCCCAUGGGCGUGGCCAACCUACCCUUUAGGCAAAUCUUGUUCUUCUUGAUCGACUCGAUCACCUCCUCGGGAACCUUCUUCAUGUCCCCAUGCACCUCGACUCGGAAAGGCGUGUAGAGGAACCAUCCGGCCUUUCUCCCAAACCUGCCUCUAUUGCCUCCGGCGGAGGAAACGAACCCUGUGCCUCGUCUUCUUCGGCAACUCGGUCACCAGAUCCAGCAGAUGCAGCUCGCACUCCGACAGAUGCAACUCGUCUUGAAUGGCCGGUCCGUUCUCGGGAUUAUGGGUUCUCUUGUUGACAGCCCGCUCGUCAUUACAUGGUCCUCAAGGCCAACGUCGACCAUUUGACUCUGAUCCAGAUCGGUCUCACCCUCUCAGAUGAAGAGGGAAAUCUUUCGGAUCUGGGCACGAACAUCCUUUACAUAUCUGGAAUGAUGGGGACCGGAAGCAAGCGAAAGAAUGAUCAGAAUUAUUCUCCGGCGGAUCUAGGACCACAUAGACUACAUCCUCCUCUUCUCGUUGACCGGAUGGCCUUGCAGAUCUGAAUUUCUUUAUGGGUUGAUUCAUGUCGUGAAGAAAUGGUGGAGAUGGAUUGAAGAGUCGAAGGCAUCGAUUACCUGGGGCAGUCCAUAUACAUUGGCGACCCGAAUCACUGCUUUCCCAGACGGUUCCUGGACAACUUUAAUCUCUCAGACGCACAGGUACGCAAGAUUUGGUCUGAAAUGGCAGAAAGCAAAGUGAGCAUAGCGAAUUGGUUGCUAGCGGUGAAACGCAGUUCCGGCAAGUCUUACAGUCAGGUAGCGGUGGAGAUGGGCCUCACCAACGUCUACGUUGCCCAGCUCCUCAGAUGCCAAGCCCAGCUGAAGCCCGAAACAGCUCCUAAACUAAAGGCAGUGCUGCCCGAACUUACUGACGACGACCUCCAGGAGAUGAUGAGGCCGCCCAUGCGCUCCUACGACCCCAAUUUAAUUGGAUCUUCUAUUCAGCACGUAGGUUCCGAUGAUUAAGAAGUUAUUACUCUUCACUUUAAGUAAAUUUUUUAAUAUAUUAUUUAUAAUCUCUAAGAUGAGUAUUAAAAAUUAUAUUUAUUUUUAUUAUUUGAUAAAAUUUUAUAUUUAUUCACAUAAUUUAUAACUCAGUUAUAUUUGUGAUAAAUUUUUAUUCACAUAAUUUAUAUAUAAGUUCUAUUUAUUUUUUAUACUUGUUAUGAAUUAUUGAUAAUAAGUUUCAUCUUAUAAUAGAAAUGGAGCAUUCCUGAAAGAUCGCUUUAAAUCAAUAAUUUUAUUGAGUAUAUCAUAGUUUAAAGAAGUGAUACGUGUACCAAAAGCUCAUUAUGAUUAAUAUACCUGAAGUUGCAUAA